GUGUGUGCUUGUCUCGAGGAUUUAGCCAUGCAAGCCUUCGAAGCAGUGCGGAGGGGCAGACGGCUCAGUAAUACGGUGAUGAUUUACGCGCACGGAGGCGGAUAACCGUGGUAAGCUACGGCUAAGACGCGACGGGGGCCCCUGGGGGGCUUGCGGCGGUGCGGCUAAGUUUCUGGCCUAUCAGCUGGAAGGUAGGGUAAGGGCCUACCUUGGCGACGACGGGUGACGGGGGAUGAGAGUCCGAUUCCGGAGAGGGAGCCUGAGAAACGGCUACCAGGUCCAAGGACAGCAGCAGGCGCGAAAAUUACCGAAGCCUGCCUCAGGGCGGUAGUAAGGAGACGUUGACUGAUGCGCGUGUAAAGACCGCGCUCGAUACAGGAGGACAAGACUGGUGCCAGCAGCCGCGG
rnacentral:rRNA from 1 species